GUGGCGGACGGGUGAGUAACACGUGGGAACGUGCCCUUUGGUACGGAAUAACUCAGGGAAACUUGAGCUAAUACCGUAUGUGCCCUUCGGGGGAAAGAUUUAUCGCCAUUGGAGCGGCCCGCGUCUGAUUAGCUAGUUGGUGAGGUAAUGGCUCACCAAGGCUACGAUCAGUAGCUGGUCUGAGAGGAUGACCAGCCACAUUGGGACUGAGACACGGCCCAAACUCCUACGGGAGGCAGCAGUGGGGAAUCUUGCGCAAUGGGCGAAAGCCUGACGCAGCCAUGCCGCGUGGAUGAUGAAGGUCUUAGGAUUGUAAAAUCCUUUCACCGGGGACGAUAAUGACGGUACCCGGAGAAGAAGCCCCGGCUAACUUCGUGCCAGCAGCCGCGGUAAUACGAAGGGGGCUAGCGUUGCUCGGAAUUACUGGGCGUAAAGGGCGCGUAGGCGGACAUUUAAGUCGGGGGUGAAAUCCCAGGGCUCAACCCUGGAACUGCCUUCGAUACUGGAUGUCUUGAGUGCGGGAGAGGUGUGUGGAACUCCGAGUGUAGAGGCGAAAUUCGUAGAUAUUCGGAAGAACACCAGUGGCGAAGGCGACACACUGGCCCGUUACUGACGCUGAGGCGCGAAAGCGUGGGGAGCAAACAGGAUUAGAUACCCUGGUAGUCCAC
rnacentral:rRNA from 1 species